CCUACGGUGGCUGCAGUGGGGAAUAUUGGACAAUGGGCGAAAGCCUGAUCCAGCCAUGCCGCGUGUGUGAAGAAGGCCUUCGGGUUGUAAAGCACUUUCAGUGGGGAAGAAAGCCUUGGGGCUAAUACCCUCGAGGAAGGACAUCACCCACAGAAGAAGCACCGGCUAACUCCGUGCCAGCAGCCGCGGUAAUACGGAGGGUGCGAGCGUUAAUCGGAAUUACUGGGCGUAAAGCGCGCGUAGGCGGUCUGAUAAGCCGGUUGUGAAAGCCCCGGGCUCAACCUGGGAACGGCAUCCGGAACUGUCAGGCUAGAGUGCAGGAGAGGAAGGUAGAAUUCCCGGUGUAGCGGUGAAAUGCGUAGAGAUCGGGAGGAAUACCAGUGGCGAAGGCGGCCUUCUGGACUGACACUGACGCUGAGGUGCGAGAGCGUGGGUAGCAAACAGGAUUAGAUACCCUGGUAGUC
rnacentral:rRNA from 1 species